rnacentral:rRNA from 1 species
CCUACGGGGGGCAGCAGUGGGGAAUAUUGCGCAAUGGGCGAAAGCCUGACGCAGCGACGCCGCGUGAGGGAUGAAGGUCUUCGGAUCGUAAACCUCUGUCAGCAGGGAAGAACGGUCACUGUGCUAAUCAGCAGUGAAUUGACGGUACCUGCAAAGGAAGCACCGGGUAACUCCGUGCCAGCAGCCGCGGUGAUACGGAGGUUGCGAGCGUUAAUCGGAAUUACUGGGCGUAAAGGGGUCGUAGGCGGUAUGUCAAGUCAAGGGUGAAAUCCCCGCGCUCAACGUGGGAACUGCCUUUGAAACUGGCAAACUGGAGUGUGUGAGAGGAUAGUGGAAUUCCAGGUGUAGGAGUGAAAUGCGUAGAUAUCUGGAGGAACAUCAGUGGCGAAGGCGACUAUCUGGCACAUAACUGACGCUGAGGAGCGAAAGCGUGGGUAGCAAACAGGAUUAGAUACCCGGGUAGUC